rnacentral:rRNA from 1 species
AUUGAACGCUGGCGGCAGGCUUAACACAUGCAAGUCGAGCGGAGACUUCGGUCUUAGCGGCGAACGGGUGAGUAAUACCUAGGAAUCUGCCUAUUAGUGGGGGAUAACGGCUCGAAAGGGUCGCUAAUACCGCAUACGUCCUACGGGAGAAAGUGGGGGAUCUUCGGACCUCACGCUAAUAGAUGAGCCUAGGCCGGAUUAGCUAGUUGGUAGGGUAAAGGCCUACCAAGGCGACGAUCCGUAGCUGGUCUGAGAGGAUGAUCAGCCACACUGGAACUGAGACACGGUCCAGACUCCUACGGGAGGCAGCAGUGGGGAAUAUUGGACAAUGGGGGCAACCCUGAUCCAGCCAUGCCGCGUGUGUGAAGAAGGCC